AACGAACGCUGGCGGCAGGCUUAACACAUGCAAGUCGAGCGGACCUUUCGGGGUCAGCGGCGGACGGGUGAGUAACGCGUGGGAACGUGCCCUUCUCUACGGAAUAGUCUCGGGAAACUGGGGGUAAUACCGUAUACGCUCUUCGGAGGAAAGAUUUAUCGGAGAGGGAUCGGCCCGCGUUGGAUUAGGUAGUUGGUGGGGUAACGGCCUACCAAGCCGACGAUCCAUAGCUGGUUUGAGAGGAUGAUCAGCCACACUGGGACUGAGACACGGCCCAGACUCCUACGGGAGGCAGCAGUGGGGAAUCUUGGACAAUGGGGGGAACCCUGAUCCAGCCAUGCCGCGUGAGCGAUGAAGGCCUUAGGGUUGUAAAGCUCUUUCAGCUGGGAAGAUAAUGACGGUACCAGCAGAAGAAGCCCCGGCUAACUCCGUGCCAGCCGCCGCCGUAACAC
rnacentral:rRNA from 1 species